AUGAACGCUGGCGGCGUGCCUAAUACAUGCCAGUCGAGCGAACGGACGAGAAGCUUGCUUUUCUGAUGUUAGCGGCGGACGGGUGAGUAACACGUGGAUAACCUACCUAUAAGACUGGGAUAACUUCGGGAAACCGGAGCUAAUACCGGAUAAUAUUUUGAACCGCAUGGUUCAAAAGUGAAAGACGGUCUUGCUGUCACUUAUAGAUGGAUCCGCGCUGCAUUAGCUAGUUGGUAAGGUAACGGCUUACCAAGGCAACGAUGCAUAGCCGACCUGAGAGGGUGAUCGGCCACACUGGAACUGAGACACGGUCCAGACUCCUACGGGAGGCAGCAGUAGGGAAUCUUCCGCAAUGGGCGAAAGCCUGACGGAGCAACGCCGCAUGAGUGAUGAAGGUCUUCGGAUCGUAAAACUCUGUUAUUAGGGAAGAACAUAUGUGUAAGUAACUGUGCACAUCUUGACGGUACCUAAUCAGAAAGCCACGGCUAACUACGUG
rnacentral:rRNA from 1 species